rnacentral:rRNA from 1 species
GCGGCGUGCUUAACACAUGCAAGUCGAACGGAAAGGCCCUGCUUUUGUGGGGUGCUCGAGUGGCGAACGGGUGAGUAACACGUGAGUAACCUGCCCUUGACUUUGGGAUAACUUCAGGAAACUGGGGCUAAUACCGGAUAGGAGCUCCUGCUGCAUGGUGGGGGUUGGAAAGUUUCGACGGUUGGGGAUGGACUCGCGGCUUAUCAGCUUGUUGGUGGGGUAGUGGCUUACCAAGGCUUUGACGGGUAGCCGGCCUGAGAGGGUGACCGGCCACAUUGGGACUGAGAUACGGCCCAGACUCCUACGGGAGGCAGCAGUGGGGAAUAUUGCACAAUGGGCGGAAGCCUGAUGCAGCAACGCCGCGUGCGGGAUGACGGCCUUCGGGUUGUAAACCGCUUUCGCCUGUGACGAAGCGUGAGUGACGGUAAUGGGUAAAGAAGCACCGGCUAACUACGUGCCAGCAGCCGCGGUGAUACGUAGGGUGCGAGCGUUGUCCGGAUUUAUUGGGCGUAAAGGGCUCGUAGGUGGUUGAUCGCGUCGGAAGUGUAAUCUUGGGGCUUAACCCUGAGCGUGCUUUCGAUACGGGUUGACUUGAGGAAGGUAGGGGAGAAUGGAAUUCCUGGUGGAGCGGUGGAAUGCGCAGGUAUCAGGAGGAACACCAGUGGCGAAGGCGGUUCUCUGGGCCUUUCCUGACGCUGAGGAGCGAAAGCGUGGGGAGCGAACAGGCUUAGAUACCCUGGUAGUCCACGCUGUAAACGGUGGGUACUAGGUGUGGGGUCCAUUCCACGGGUUCCGUGCCGUAGCUAACGCUUUAAGUACCCCGCCUGGGGAGUACGGCCGCAGGGCUAAAACUCAAAGGAAUUGACGGGGCCCCGCACAAGCGGCGGAGCAUGCGGAUUAAUUCGAUGCAACGCGUAGAACCUUACCUGGGUUUGACAUGGAUCGGGAGUGCUCAGAGAUGGGUGUGCCUCUUUUGGGGUCGGUUCACAGGUGGUGCAUGGCUGUCGUCAGCUCGUGUCGUGAGAUGUUGGGUUAAGUCCCGCAACGAGCGCAACCCUUGUUCACUGUUGCCAGCACGUUAUGGUGGGGACUCAGUGGAGACCGCCGGGGUCAACUCGGAGGAAGGUGGGGAUGACGUCAAGUCAUCAUGCCCCUUAUGUCCAGGGCUUCACGCAUGCUACAAUGGCUGGUACAGAGAGUGGCGAGCCUGUGAGGGUGAGCGAAUCUCGGAAAGCCGGUCUCAGUUCGGAUUGGGGUCUGCAACUCGACCUCAUGAAGUCGGAGUCGCUAGUAAUCGCAGAUCAGCAACGCUGCGGUGAAUACGUUCCCGGGGCUUGUACACACCGCCCGUCAAGUCAUGAAAGUUGGUAACACCCGAAGCCGGUGGCCUAACCGUUGUGGGGGAGCCGUCGAAGGUGGGACUGGUGAUU